UCUUGUUCGCUCUCUUUUUCUCUUGUUUUCUUGUUUUCUUUUUCUUCUUCUUUUUUCUCGUUCGCAGAUCAAAAGAA
rnacentral:ribozyme from 1 species